UGGCGGACGGGUGAGUAAUGUCUGGGAAACUGCCUGAUGGAGGGGGAUAACUACUGGAAACGGUAGCUAAUACCGCAUAACGUCGCAAGACCAAAGAGGGGGACCUUCGGGCCUCUUGCCAUCGGAUGUGCCCAGAUGGGAUUAGCUAGUAGGUGGGGUAACGGCUCACCUAGGCGGCGAUCCCUAGCUGGUCUGAGAGGAUGACCAGCCACACUGGAACUGAGACACGGUCCAGACUCCUACGGGAGGCAGCAUG
rnacentral:rRNA from 1 species